CACCUGCACACAAAAUCUAAUCACCCGAUUUUAAUUCCAAUCAACCUUCCACCCUUCACAUACAAAAAAAAAAAACAACGUUGAAUUGAAAAUCCCAGAAACAUUCACCUGGCCUCCAAUGGACAUGAAGGCUUUGUAAAAUCAUAGAAAAGCCACACGCAUGCAACACCACAACAAAAAAUCUCACCAUAGCCACAAUCCCUAAGCCCCAUCAUCAUCGUCUCCUUCUGUGGGCCCGAAUGAUGUUGUGGAGAUCCCAUUGCCGAAGCAGCAAGUGAACAACAAGAAGAAAAGCCACCAUUCGACGAGGAAUUGGAUUCAGGGUCUAGAAUUGCGAGCAAAACCACGUCGUUGUAGAUCUGCUGCGAAGUAGAACGAAGAGGUAUUGGUGCAUUGUUGUUGUCGCAGUACACCAACACUUAGAAUCGCAAAUAAAAGGGUCUGUUGUUGGGUGGAAUCUACGAGGAACGAAGAUGAAGCUGAAAGGGAACUAGUUGAAA
rnacentral:lncRNA from 1 species